CAGAUGGCGACGGCGCACGGGUGAGUAACACGUAUCCAACCUGCCGCUUACUCGGGGAUAGCCUUUCGAAAGAAAGAUUAAUACCCGAUGGUAUAAAGAGUUCGCAUGUUCUCUUUAUUAAAGAAUUCGGUAAGCGAUGGGGAUGCGUUCCAUUAGAUUGUUGGCGGGGUAACGGCCCACCAAGUCUACGAUGGAUAGGGGUUCUGAGAGGAAGGUCCCCCACAUUGGAACUGAGACACGGUCCAAACUCCUACGGGAGGCAGCAGUGAGGAAUAUUGGUCAAUGGACGAGAGUCUGAACCAGCCAAGUAGCCGUGAAGGAUGACUGCCCUAUGGGUUGUAAACUUCUUUUAUAAGGGAAUAAAGUGAGGGACGUGUCCCUUUUUGUAUGUACCUUAUGAAUAAGGAUCGGCUAACUCCGUGCCAGCAGCGGC
rnacentral:rRNA from 1 species